CAAUAGCGUAUAUUAAAGUUGUUGCAGUUAAAAAGCUCGUAGUUGGAUUUCUGGUCGGAAGCUCCUGUCCUCUGAUGAGCGUACAAGUGCGUCCUACCAUCCUUCUGUUAACCUUUAAGGCUUUCGCGGCUUUCUAGGGGCUCAGAUAUUUUACCUUGAGAAAAUUAGAGUGUUUCAGGCAGGCUAGCGCCGGAAUACAUUAGCAUGGAAUAAUGGAAUAGGACUUUUGCCUCUUCUGUUGGUCAUGAGGCUCGAGUAAUGAUUAAUAGGGAUAGUUGGGGGCAUUAGUACUUAACUGUCAGGGGUGAAAUUCUCGGAUUUGUUAAAGACUAACUUAUGCGAAAGCAUUUGCCAAGGAUGUUUNCAUUAA
rnacentral:rRNA from 1 species